AGGGGCCUAGGAGGCCGGAGCUUACGCGAGGGGCGUGGCUUAAAGACCGAGGAGGUGGGGCUUCGCUCAUAGUCGUCUUAAGCCUGCCGGAGCAGCUGCGGACAGGCAGAAGUAGUCUUUGUAGAGGAACAAACUUCUUAAAGCUGUAUUGCCCUGGGAGUUUUCGACAUCGAAAAUGACAAAUGCAGUUUGUUGGUGUCGUGACGCUGAUCUGCUAUUUUACGACGACCGCAGGAGCCUGAUAACCACCAGAACUUAGAAACGAUGGAACCAGCUGACCAUGGACUUGAAACCUCAGCAACUAUAAGCCCAACCAAGGCCUGUUUAAGGGAGGAGACACGUGGUCACCUCCACGUCCACGUGAGGAGUUGCUCGCCUACGUUAGAAGCAUUGGGUGGUGUCGUGUGUGGCAGGCUGGCUGGAAGUGCCUUCCGUAUGCCACUUCCUCAUAUCACUUCCUCACAGGCUCAGGUAUGCCUCUGUACACAGGUUACUUUCCAUUCAUGCCUUCCUUCCUCCCCCCUGCUGACAGUUAAGAGAAGAUGCAGUUUCCCUGGUCCUCAGGGAUGUUGGUGCAGAGGGACAGCUUACUGCUGGACUGAGUGGGUUUGGAGGUCACUAUCACAGUCCAAGUAGUCAACUGGAUUUCUCCCUGGAGCACCCCAGGCCCACUGCUCCCCUACAGCUGAACCCACCAUGGCCCCUUGGCUCCUACGGGUACUUUCUGCUUUUGCUCUCUAGGGCUGGCUCCAGGCCCCCUCCUCCAGGAAGACACCCAGGUUUCUUCCUUCUGAACUUCUGCCCUGCGCAUGAGCUGUUCCCUGUUUCCCAUCUUGCUCUCCCAAGGACCAGUGAGAGCUGAUAAGCUCCUAAGUCCCUAACGCCACCCUUCCAUCUCUCAGGUGACAACAGCGAGGCCUGAGAGAAGUCAAUGACCUUUCAAGGUCACAGAGCCAAACCCGUGACAGACUUAGAACCCAGGGGUCUGACACUUAAACCUACAUUACGAAUCUCUGACCCCUAGCAGUAGCCAGGCCUGAGGCUUAAACAAAUGACAGAGGUCGAUAGAUUACUCAGAGGUGCUGAUGGUGGAUGGCUAGAUGCGUGGUGUGCUGUCUGAAGGAUCUGGUCACAGGUCUAGACCAUCCUCUUACCCGCGGUGUGACCUUUGAUAAAUCACUUGACCUCUGUCACAUUCACUGUCUUUACCUGUGAAAACCCUAUGGUUAGUGAAGAUUAAAUCAGCCAGGGUGUCACUACGGCAGCCAGCCCCUGGGGCCCAGCAGAGCUAGAAAUGACAACUGUGACUUUGAAAGUGACAGCCAUCCCCCAGCAGGCUCUCCCUGUCUUGUUCUACAGCCUCUGGAAGUUCCAGCCAGAGACCAGGACCGGGCAGCUCAGCCAUCUGCACCUCAGGACCUACCGUGCU